UAUACAUAUCCUUUAAAUCCUUAAGAUCAUGUAAACAGAGAAAAGAAAACAAAUUGGUAUACUACAAUAAGAAAAUAAUUAUUUUAAAAUCGACUAGUUAAAAAGAUUUGGGCAUAGCAGAUGACACAGUAGAAGGCGCACACAGUAGGUCUUGGAUGCGUACAGUGCUUGACACAUACAUAUAUAUUGCUAAGUACCGUAUGUGAUGCAAAUAUGGCUUCUAGAUAAACUUCCCUGUCAUAACACUACAGCCCCUGACACAAACCGGCCGGAUGUACUGUAAGUGUCCUCCUGUAAAACCCACACACUAAGCCAGAACGUCUACACACCAGCACAUGCACAUAUUCCCACUAAAGUAACUGUUCAGCUUCUUUGUCCUUUUUACCUCGUUUGUUCUUUCCCAGUCUCCUCUGCUUGGAUCUGUGCCCAUUCUACCGACCGAGAUCCUGUAUCUCUUCCUGUUUACAUUGUGGCCUGUGGAUUGCAUGGCCUGUUCAGCACUAUAGGAAUGUAGCUGCAAGCAAGUCCUGAAAGUAUGAAGUGAUCACACAACCUUAAGGACAAAAUAAUCCAUUCUCAUACAGUUGAGAGAGUGUGGAUUCCCCUCCGCUCUCUCCUGGAUAAACACCAUUACAGGCAGAUGCUGAGGAGCUCAAAGUUGAGUCAAUAUUAUCCCGAGCAAUAAAGUCCUGCACAGUGCGCAUCGCUCCCCCUGUGAGACCAGGAUGAGUUCAUCUCUAAACUGCCGAGGUCCGUGAGGAACUGUAUUCAAUGGAGGUGGCACACUUGAGUGUGAAGAUAGCUUGCUGUUGUUUCUACUGCCUGAUUUGGAUCUUUCAUGCCAGGCCUAUACACAAUCCAAGGAUAUCCAGGAUCAGCUAAAGGUCAAUAAAGCCUGGUUCAACAGUGUGAACCCAUCCCUGGCAAAACUUCUGUGUGAGUUCACAUCAAGCCCGUCAUCCAAUUCUCCCAGUGGACCUCGCUUCUUGCCCUUCUGCUCAAACCUGUGCACACUUGUUAGUGCAAAUAUCUUACAUUCACAGCAGGAGCAUUUUUCCCCAUCAUACCUUGGGCGGGCAGGCCAACAGAAACAUGGCUGAGCCCUGAAAUAACACCCCGUGAAAGCUGCUGGUGUGUCUUAAUUGGACCAAAGUCUUUCAACGUUGAAUUCUUUUGAACUGAAACAGCUAAACCACAAUUCAACUUCUGUGCUGCUCACAACAAUGGACUGCUGUGUUUUCUUCCUGUUGGCGUAGCUAA